rnacentral:rRNA from 1 species
CUUGUACACACCGCCCGUCACACCAUGGGAGCGGGUUCUGCCAGAAGUGGGUAGCCUAACCGCAAGGAGGGCGCUUACCACGGCAGGGUUCGUGACUGGGGUG